rnacentral:lncRNA from 10 species
AAAAAAUGACUAAUACAGGGCCAUUAUUACCAAACCCCAAAAUUUUCAGGCCUCACUUUUGACAAGUACAGACCAUAAAUAUGUGAUCAUUUGCCUCUCUGAAACACUCUAUACACCCUAUUUUAAGAAAGACCAUUGCACUUCCUAUGCAAAAUAUAUCUUAGGGAGCAGCACCAGAAGGGGCAUUAUACUUUACGUCCAAUAUCCCGUAGGCUCCAUUUUAUCUGCCCCCGUAGGCCUCCACUGAACAUACUGCUGUCUCUACCUCAAACCCAACAUCUAAACUUGAACUAAGCAACCGCUUCAUAAAACUAGCUCCCUU